GCUGCUUCAUCAGCAUGUUGUUUUGCACUCCUCCUUCUCCUGUGAUCUCUUCCAGGCAGUCGCGAAGCGCCGAGCGAAAGAGACGAGGCAACUCGUAGACUUCCGGCUCCAUCUGGGACACCAGCCUCCUGAAUCUGAAGACCGCACUGGGCGGGCGGCACCUUGGCGCAGAGAUCCUGCAACUCCAGCAAGUCAUUAGGCGUCAGUUGGUAAGGUUGCGGGUUGGGCGUGCUGGCCAGCCAGCUGUAAUCCGCCGCCGCCGCCGUAGAAUUGCAAAUGUUGCUACGGUGGCGCCGCCGACCCUCGCAGGCCCGCUCCAGGCGGAUGCGCUCGGUGCGCUUCACCAUAGCGCCCAGCUCCAGCAUCAGCGUGUUGGUAACCAGCUCCUCGCUGGUGCGCUGGCCUGGCACUUUGGGCUCCAGGGAGAAGAUGGCUGACCAAGGAAACAUCUGGUGUUCCCAACUGAAUUCCUCUCGCUAGCAGCGUGACAGCUGGCAGGCUUCCAUGAAGCUCCUCACCCGGAUGCCUCUCUUCUGCUGUCAGUAGGGUUUGGGGAUUGACAAUGAACAGAAUAGUAAUCCUGUCGUGAGAAAGAGUGGAGGAUGAGAUGAGCUUAGGCGUGCACACACACUGGAGGUGACCCAUGAGUGAGAAAACAUUUUUGGAGUUCUCUCUCUCAUUUAUGUGUGUGACUGAAAAGAAAUAAGGAUUCUCACUAAAGGUGGUUCCUCCGUGGUGGAUUGAAACUUUCUAUUUCACAUUGUCAUAAUAUUGAAUCAUAAGUGAAAGAUAUUCCAAACCAGACAUUUGUUAUAAAUUACAAUAAAGCCCAAUUUGCUGAUUGGUAAAUCUUUUUUCAAACCUUUGU